UACGUAGGGUGCGAGCGUUAAUCGGAAUUACUGGGCGUAAAGCGUGCGCAGGCGGUUUUGUAAGCCAGAUGUGAAAUCCCCGGGCUUAACCUGGGAAUGGCAUUUGGGACUGCAAGGCUCGAGUGCGGCAGAGGAGACUGGAAUUCCUGGUGUAGCAGUGAAAUGCGUAGAUAUCAGGAGGAACACCGAUGGCGAAGGCGGGUCUCUGGGCCGAUACUGACGCUGAGGAGCGAAAGCGUGGGGAGCGAACAGG
rnacentral:rRNA from 1 species